GAUGAAGAACGCAGCGAAAUGCGAUAAGUAGUGUGAAUUGCAGAAUUCAGUGAAUCAUCGAAUCUUUGAACGCACAUUGCGCCCCCUGGUAUUCCGGGGGGCAUGCCUGUCCGAGCGUCAUUACUGCCCUCAAGCGCGGCUUGUGUGUUGGGCCCUCGCCCCCCCGAGCGGGGGGCGUGCCCGAAAGGCAGUGGCGGCGCCGUGCCCGGUCCUCGAGCGUAUGGGGCUCUGUCACCCGCUCUGGAGGCCCGGCCGGCCGCCGCCGACCCCAUCAGACCUUACCACCGGUUGACCUCGGAUCAGGCAGGGAUACCCGCUGAACUUAAGCAUAUCAAUAAGCGGAGGA
rnacentral:misc_RNA from 1 species